GGAAUAUUGGGCAAUGGACGCAAGUCUGACCCAGCCAUGCCGCGUGCAGGAUGAAGGCGUUAUGCGUCGUAAACUGCUUUUAUACAGGAAGAAACGACUCUUGCGAGAGGCAUUGACGGUACUGUAUGAAUAAGCACCGGCUAACUCCGUGCCAGCAGCCGCGGUAAUACGGAGGGUGCAAGCGUUGUCCGGAUUUAUUGGGUUUAAAGGGUGCGCAGGUGGUUUAUUAAGUCAGUGGUGAAAGACGGUCGCUCAACGAUUGCAGUGCCAUUGAAACUAGUAGACUUGAGUAAAGUAGAGGUGGGCGGAAUUGAUAGUGUAGCGGUGAAAUGCAUAGAUAUUAUCAAGAACUCCAAUUGCGUAGGCAGCUCACUUGGCUUUUACUGACACUCAUGCACGAAAGUGUGGGUAUCAAACAGGAUUA
rnacentral:rRNA from 1 species